UCUUUUCCUUUCUAUUAAUUUUUCUUCUUCUCUUUCACUUCCCCUCGCAGACUGCACAGUUCUCUUCUUCUUUUCCUCCUAAUUUUCUUUUCUUUCUCUAUAUUGAUACACAUUUUUUCUUCUUUCUCAACUUAUUUUCUUUUCCUUUCUUUAUUUUUCCAUAUUACAGCUUUUCUUCUUUUCCUCCUAAUUUUCUUUUCUUUCUCUAUACUGAUACACAUUUUUUCUUCUUUCUCAACUUCUUUUCUUUUCCUUUCUUUAUUUUCCCAUAUUACAGCUUUUCUUCUUCUUUUCCUCCUAAUUUUCUUUUUCUUUCUCUAUAUUGAUACACAUUUUUUCUUCUUUCUCAACUUAUUUUCUUUUCCUUUCUUUAUUUUCCCAUAUUACAGCUUUUCUUCUUUCCCUCUCUAUUCGUUUUCUUCUUUUUCGUCAUUCCGUUUAGCAGAUUGCAGUUCUCUUCUUUUCUUCCUCUUAAUCAAUUGUCUUUUUUUGUUUAUUUUGAUAUUCAUUUUUUCUUUUCUUUCCUAUUUUUCUUUUCCUUUAUUCACUUUCGCAUAUUACAGCUUUUCUCCUUUCCCUCUCUAAUAGUUUUUUCUUCUUUUCCUUCAUUUUCUUUCGCAAACUGCACCGUUAACAUCAGAGGAGGCUCGGCAACGCUCAAACCUCCAGCCUCUGUGUUGCCGAGGUGGCGUUGGUGAAUAAAUGAUCAAAGAAUAGCAAAAUAGAGAAAAAAAACAAAUGAAAAUCUCAAUAUCACUUUUCGAACGCAAGUUAUUUCUGGUACUUCCCAUUCUCCUUAAAACAGAGUGGCCUAAAGCUCUCUGUACUAUAACGAAAAGAUGAUACUUAACCCGUCCGAUGCGAUUGAUACGGAUUUGGCCUUCACUGGUAGCCUGGUAACAUACACUCCCAGGUCUUUCUCUGCCUCUGUGGUGGAUAGUGGAGUGUUUCCCAUGUGGUAUUGGUGUGCUGGAUAUCCCUUCACUGGUAGCCUGGUAACAUACACUCCCAGGUCUUUCUCUGCCUCUGUGGUGGAUAGUGGAGUGUUUCCCAUGUGGUAUUGGUGUGCUGGAUAUCCCUUCACUGGUAGCCUGGUAACAUACACUCCCAGGUCUUUCUCUGCCUCUGUGGUGGAUAGUGGAGUGUUUCCCAUGUGGUAUUGGUGUGCUGGAUAUCCCUUCACUGGUAGC